UACGAAGGGGGCUAGCGUUGCUCGGAAUCACUGGGCGUAAAGGCGCGUAGGCGGCCGCGCAAGUCUCGGGUGAAAUCCCUCGGCUCAACCGAGGAACUGCCCUGGAAACUGCGCGGCUCGAGGCCGGGAGAGGAUGGUGGAAUUCCCAGUGUAGCGGUGAAAUGCGUAGAUAUUGGGAGGAACACCGGUGGCGAAGGCGGCCGAUCUGGACCGGUCCUGACGCGUGACGGCUGCG
rnacentral:rRNA from 1 species